CCUACGGGGGGCUGCAGUAAGGAAUAUUGGACAAUGGCGGAGACGCUGAUCCAGCUAUCCCGCGUGCAGGAUGACGGCCCUACGGGUUGUAAACUGCUUUAGACUGGGGCGAAAAAGUGGGAUUUAUCCUACAUUGACGGUACCAGUAAAAUAAGCACCGGCUAACUCCGUGCCAGCAGCCGCGGUAAUACGGAGGGUGCCAGCGUUAUCCGGAAUCACUGGGGCGAAAGCGGCCUGAGGCGGCUGGAUAGAAAGGCCAUGGCUCAACGAUGGGAUUGCGUGUGAUACUGACGAGCUUGGAGUAGGACGAGGUUGGCGGAAUGUGGCAAGUAGCGGUGAAAUGCAUAGAUAUGCCAUAGAAUACCGAUUGCGAAGGCAGCUGACUAGACCUAUAUUGACGCUGAGGCACGAAAGCGUGGGGAGCGAACAGGAUUAGAUACCCUUGUAGUC
rnacentral:rRNA from 1 species